GAUCAGGAGGUCAGGAGAUCGAGACCAUCCUGGCUAACACGGAAAUGUAGACUUAGGUGUAACAUGUACCGGUUUAGAUCUGACAGAGAUAUCACAAUUGUAGGAUUGCAUCUUUUAGCAAGGUUUGUAAUUUCUUCUUUCUAGGAUUGGUUCUCUGUAAUUUUUGCUUAUUUUUAAAUUCUCUCUUUGUCUUUUGCUCUGAGAACGAUGUUACCGAUGUGUUUGCUUUCCAUGUUUACUUGCAUUUUAGCCUUUAUUUUUUUAAUUUUGAUUUUAUUUAAAUGUUAUGUAUUUUUUUUCUACUAAUUUUGAGCGUCUCAGCUUCCUGCUUCUUUACUUACAUUCUCUCAGGAUCCGGGGAGCCGAGCUCGGUCUCAGUCUCCCUGCUGUCAGGUGCCAGGUUGUGUCUGGUGGCUCUCCUUCGUAUGCGGAGCUGAUGGUUUUGCAUCAGCGCUUUUGCCAGUAGAGCCGACUAGCGUUUUCUCAGUUACGGCACCGUUCUUAGCGCCCAGUGUGACGUUUCCCAUUCGCCAGGUCCUUAUGUUCUCUGUGCUGUCACUUUCUUGGUUCUCGCACCGCUAGUAUCUGCUAAAGAACUUCCUAAACCAUGUUUUACUGUGCAGAACGGUGAUUGCACGGAGCCGCUGUACGCACUAGUAAUUUCAUAGCACCGUUAGCUGGCGCUUUUUCUGUCACAACACAUUAAAACGGGUUAAAAUACUGCAAGCGGAUUAAACACAUUAAGAGGAUUAAAACAUUAAAAUGUCUCAACACAUUUUUCUGACACAACACAUUUAAACGGAGUGGGUUCAUUCCUCCGAAGAGGAUGUUUAGGCGUGGAAGCACCGCUGUUUCCCAAGAGCACGGUUUCUCUCUGGCAGCACCACUUAUGGCACCAAAACAGGUAUUUUUUGGCAACACCAGCACUAUUCGCUAGGUGCCGGCGCUUGCUGAGUCCCAGCGCCGCCAGUUUCUCUUUCGGUCGUUAAGUAGCUCAGAGCCCUAGCGGACAGUUUUCAGGUGGCAGUAAUGCUCAUUUCCUGGAACAGAUGGUUCGUGGCCCUUGAAGCGCUGCGAUCUGUAAAGCUAGUUCUCUGCAAGGGCUUUGACUCCUGAGUCUAAAAAGGUCACUAACUCCCGCUAAAUUGAGAGCAAUUGAAGCCUCAUCUUCAGAUCUAGGAGAAGAUGAAAAUCAGAAUAAGCUGCAGUCAUGAGACAUGGCGCCAGAAAUUAAGACUAUUCAAACCCUCUAGUCCCAGGGACUAUUGAAGAAGAAGUGGGUGUGUAAGCUUGUAAGGACCUAUUUUAACAGAUAAAAUUAGUUCAGUUUCUGUAUAAUUUAUAGAUAAUUUAAUUUAAAGAGUUUUUUUUUUUUUUCCAGAUAAGGUCUAGAUCUGUCACCCAGGCUGGAGUACA
rnacentral:lncRNA from 1 species